AAAUAUAUAUUAAUAUAUAUAUUUAAUGUAAUUUUUAAUAUUAUAUAUUAUAUUAAAAUAUAUAUAGAACCUGCUUAACAUAUCAUAAUGGAGUUUUCUUUUAGAUGUAUAGUUUGUUGGAUACCAGCCUGGCCAACAUGGUGAAACCCCGUCUCUACUAAAAAUACAAUAACCCUGUGCUGUGACCAAGGAGCCAGCUUGCUCCCUCCGUCCCUCAGCCACCCUCAGCACGGUAUCGCUGCCCCGAUUCUCAGUGCCCCUUUCCUGGAAAACAAAAUGUCUAAACUGACUGGCCCAGGCUUCUUGUAUUCAGGAGAGGUCAACUGUCAUGACCAUAAUCGUUUACCUUUUUUUUCAGGAGAUCCACCUGACCUAUGGUUUAUUGUACCUUUCAGGGUUAUUUUAGGGACACAGUGAUGUACUAUGGCUCAUCCUACAACAUGCAGCUGGCCUACAUCUUCACAAUCGGAGCAUGCU
rnacentral:lncRNA from 1 species